rnacentral:misc_RNA from 1 species
GCCUAUGCUAGGUGAUACUAUAUCUACUACAAUUAUUUUAAAAAGGUUGUUCUCAAUGAAAAAGACACCCUUUGUACUGUGAGCCAUGGGGUGAUUUGCUAUACCGAUUCCUUACUCUACCACCAAUUACUAUUCAAGGUUUCCGAUUAAUCCACCUGAAUGCUUAGAGAUGUAUGUCAAAGGCUCAGCUUAUUGCUUCCCUUGGACAUUCAUUUUCCCAUUUUUGUCUUGUCCAGUCGUCGUCGUGCAUAUUCCUGAAUCUUACGAUCAUGGUCUUUGAGCAUUUGUUCCACAUUGUGUGAUGGAACGAGUAAUGGUCCAGAGAAAUAUAUCUUGCUUCCCCUCGGCCCACGACCAUACAGACUUGCUCCUCCGGAUUUUCCAUCAUCUGCCUGAGGAGAAUCUGCAUGCUUACGCACUUCAUGUUUUUGACUCUUCUUUGUUGUGGGCUCCAAUCCAUUUAAUGAUCCCUGAAACCCACCUACCUGUUUUACCGCUUCAGUCUGUGAAGUACUAGGUCUUCCCUGCCAAUCAUCAGGCAAUGAAGUUCUAGCUGCUACUAAACCAGAUAUUGUUGAUAGGUUGGUUCUGGUUGACACUGCAUGAGGAUUAUCAAUAUCCUUUCCAGCCUUUGUCCAGCCUGUCC